rnacentral:tRNA from 1 species
GCCGGAGUGGCGGAAUUGGCAGACGCACAGGACUUAAAAUCCUGCGGGUUUUCAAAGACCCGUACCAGUUCGAUUCUGGUCUCCGGCACCA